UACGUAGGGUGCAAGCGUUGUCCGGAAUUAUUGGGCGUAAAGAGCUCGUAGGCGGUUUGUCGCGUCGGCUGUGAAAACCCGAGGCUCAACCUCGGGCCUGCAGUCGAUACGGGCAAACUAGAGUGUGGUAGGGGAGACUGGAAUUCCUGGUGUAGCGGUGAAAUGCGCAGAUAUCAGGAGGAACACCGGUGGCGAAGGCGGGUCUCUGGGCAGUAACUGACGCUGAGGAGCGAAAGCGUGGGGAGCGAACAGG
rnacentral:rRNA from 1 species